AUUGAUCUUCCAGGUGCUGAUCCAGCUCGUGUUUGUCAAGAGAUAGAAGAGAUUGUUGGCCUGGAUUGUAGCAAUGCCAUAUACACCUCAGCAAAGGAAGGAAUAGGUAUUAGUGAAAUUCUAAACGCGAUUGUUCAGAGGAUUCCACCUCCACGUGCAACUGCCGAAAGGUCUCUGAGGGCUCUUAUAUUUGACAGUUACUAUGAUCCAUAUCGGGGCGUUAUUG
rnacentral:misc_RNA from 1 species